UACGUAGGGUGCGAGCGUUGUCCGGAAUUACUGGGCGUAAAGAGCUCGUAGGUGGUUUUGUCGCGUUGUCCGUGAAAACUCACAACUCAACUGUGGGCGUGCGGGCGAUACGGGCAGACUGGAGUACUGCAGGGGAGACUGGAAUUCCUGGUGUAGCGGUGAAAUGCGCAGAUAUCAGGAGGAACACCGAUGGCGAAGGCAGGUCUCUGGGCCACUACUGACGUGAGAAGCGAAAGCAUGGGGGAGCGAAACAGGA
rnacentral:rRNA from 1 species